rnacentral:tRNA from 2 species
AGCUCAGCUGGGAGAGCGCCUGCCUUGCACGCAGGAGGUCAGCGGUUCGAUCCCGCUA